UACGAAGGGUGCAAACGUUGCUCGGAAUCAUUGGGCGUAAAGCGCACGUAGGCGGCGCUGCAAGUCGGACGUGAAAUCCCUCGGCUCAACCGAGGACGUGCAUCCGAAACUGCAGUGCUCGAGUAUGGAAGAGGGUCGCGGAAUUCUCGGUGUAGAGGUGAAAUUCGUAGAUAUCGGGAGGAACACCAGUGGCGAAGGCGGCGACCUGGGCCAAUACUGACGCUGAGGAACGAAAGUGCGGGGAUCAAACAGG
rnacentral:rRNA from 1 species